UACGUAGGGUCCGAGCGUUGUCCGGAAUUACUGGGCGUAAAGAGCUCGUAGGUGGUUUGUCGCGUUGUUCGUGAAAACUCACAACUCAAUUGUGGGCGUGGCGGCGAUACGGGCAGACUAGAGUACUGCAGGGAGACUGGAAUUCCUGGUGUAGCGGUGAAUGCGCAGAUAUCAGGAGGAACACCAGUGGCGAAGGCGGCUCUGGCCGAUACUGACGCUGAGGUGACGAAGCGUGGGAGCAACAGGAUUAGAACCUCCG
rnacentral:rRNA from 1 species